rnacentral:lncRNA from 1 species
UUUCCCUUGGAAGCAUUCUCAUCACUUCCACUUGCAGCCUGCUUUCCCUUACCCUUUGACUCCUUUGCUUUUGCGUCUUUUCCCAUCGUUCCAACAACUAUCCAUCAUUUCAACAAAACAAGUCAACAACUAUUACUAAAUUAAAUAAGUCACACAGUAGAAGUCAUUGAAAACAGGAACUAAAGAAAUUUCCAACAUAAUUACAAACUACAAUUUCUUCAUCUUCUACGUUGGAUGUCUAUCACACAUCAGGUUACAGUGGAGAUUGUUAGAUGAUCAGAUUCUGUUAAGCUUAUGCGAGAGUUAGUUUCUGAUUCAUUGUAGAUUACAGUUAGAAUCAGUUGGUUUGAUUUAACAUAAAAUCUCCAUAGUGUUAAAAACGCUUUCUAGUUUUUGCCCUCAUCCACGUUUUCGUUUGGAUACCUAACUAAAGACAUCGACAUCAACCAUCUGAUAUCCAUAUAGAUAAUAACCCAACAAAACAAGCUCAUAUAGACUCGUUUACAGAAAUUGAUUCAUGAGCUCCUGACAAACACAAGGCUUGUAACUACUUUAUUGAAAUGACUAGCAACAUCUAUUAUGCAUUCAUACACUUAGUCAGUUACGCACUAAGGUUACACUUGGAGAAUGUGAAAUCAAUAACCUGACUAAGUUUCAAAAUUUAUGAAGCAAGAAUACAGACACAGACACAGACACUGGACAUGACACGAAAACUAACACGCCAACACUGAUAACAAUUUGAGAAAAUCACAUAAUUCAAUAUAAUAAUAUGUGUCGGUGUCACGACACUAGGACAUGCCUAAUUCGAGGAGUGUCCGUGUUUCAUAGUUCACAACGCAAUUUCAGUCAAGGUGUUUAACCAAGUGUGGCAUAAGGCCUCAUAGACUUUAGUACAAUGAAAAUGCAGUUAUAAGCACCACUAAUUGAAAGGUUAGCUAGUUGUUUACAACAGUUUUAGAGCUAAAUAUUUUUAAAGUACCCACAAAAUCACGAUCUUUCAAGUUUACCCUCUACAUCAAUUUCUUCAAUCAUCUUGGUCCCUUUUUUUAAAAUGGUUGUUUUUAGUCUCUCACGGACUAAAAAUAAUCGUACCUAAUGUAUACUAGCGAUCAAAAUUGAAUAAAAUUUAUGUGGGAAUUAAAACUGAAUAAUAUAGAUAGAAAUUAAACUUGGGUUUUAGAAAAUGGUAAAAUUCUACAUUAGAUUGAAGCUCAAAAAUCCAAAAAAAUAAAAUAAAAUAAAAUAAAUCGCAGUUCUAUUACAAUGAUGUGAAAAAAGUGAAAUGGAACAAAAAAAAAUCUAAAUAUUCUUUUUACCUCUUCUUAGUACAAAUCAAUUGAAAAGUUGCAGAGUUUAGAAA